GUUAAACUAAAUUGUUACACCUGGUAGAGCAGCUACACUGAUCAUUUUAUUACAGAUGAAAGAAUUUAGACAGUUUUCAAAUCUCUGUGAUGCGGCAGUGAUCCUUUGACUUUUUGGACCUGCAGCGGAGUUUGGGGUCCAGACACGUCUAAUGGCGUCAGACUUAAAGACUGGAUUGCUUUUGGACUCUGAGUUUUGAAGACUCACAUCUGCCGUGUUUUUGUUUGUUUUUUGGGGUUUUUUUUUUAAACCAGAGGCGACGAUAAUCGGGUCUAUUUCUUACCAGUUAUUUGCAUUGGCUUCAGCUCUAGAGGGUGCUGUUGGUGUCUGUGUGUGUGUGCCAGGCGAGACCCACCCAGAGAGAAAAGAACACCAUCAGCUGUUUGCUCAAAUUCCUAAAGGCCUAUUUAUUCAUGUUUAACAGAAGUGGACUUGCGGUUGAGCGAGUUAUGUACAUGUUAUUGUUGGUCACAGUUCAUUUUUGAGUCAGGCAAACACAUGCAUCAUCUAACAGCUCAAGCAGAUUGCGUUUUCUGGCUAGCUGCAAUGUGAGGCCCAUCUUGUCUAACAGUUUAAACUGAGGAAGGAAGAUGUUCUGCAGCCUGUUAGUUUAACCUGAGGGCCGUAAACUGAAUAAUAAAUUACAAAAGCUGCUGUCAGCCAAAUAAAACAUGUGAGAGAUUUGAUACUCCCAGCUGAAGUCAGCUUUGUUUCUACAAAAGCAGAAUGAAAUCCCAAGUCCAGCGUCUGGCUCGCAGUCUUUGAGCAUAUUGGUAACAAUCUGGACUGCCCGGCUUUACCAAGAACAGGACGACAGCAGUACCAAAGUGGGAUCUGCCGUUGCAUAACAAUCUGUGUUAUAGACUGAAAGAUAAUCAUACAAUUGAUCUGUUUUCUCUGUAAGACCUCAGCUCCAAAGGAAACAAAUCCGCUGCAGAUGUGAUCUAUAUACAAGAAAAUGUUAGAAACCAAAAGCCAUUAUAAUUUAAUCCCAACCACAAGCUUUUUCUUGACCUAAUCCAGGUUUUUAUUGGCAAAACACAGUAGCAACUACUGAUCAGUUAAAAUUAAAAUUGUAAAAUUGAAGGGAAGCUUCAGUUCUUCAGUUUGACUUGAAACUAGUGACUGACCCCAUGAAGCCACCAGAGAAAAGGAAGGUAGGCUUAUUUAGCCCUCCGUCCAAACAGAGGAGUCACCUUGUGUAGGUUUAAGAAACUUUGGACAAAUCCAUGUGUUAUGCUGUCUACAGUAACAAACAUGAGCAUGUGUAUUAUUAAAUCUGUUUUGAUUCAAAUAUGUCAUCUUCAUUAGAGUGUGUAGGGACCUGUCAAAAACUCAGAUUUAUAGACGUUUGAGAUUAACCUCUUGACGCUCUAAGAUUUCAAACCCCCCCAAAAAACAAAACACAGAAGAUCCUUUUGUGUGUACUGAGCCUAUGAAAACAGUUAUGUAACGCUUCGUGGGGAUCUGGAGGAGCUUUGGGAAGUCACAGUAAAUCUAUCCCACCCUGAUGAUGCCACAGUGAUGUCAUUAGGGUUAUUCUGGCACGUGUUGGGGAAGUGCAGUUUCGUAAUAGCUGUACGGAGUGGGCUGAGGAGGGUCUGAUGCAUUAGGUGGAGUGUGGGAUGUGGAGAUUUGGGAGCUUGGUACUACAAGCUAAUAAUCAGAUGUACUUUGUGAUGUAGUUUGAUUUUAGGAGAGUGGUCUAUCUGAAUCGAGGGUAACACAGUUUACAGGCGAACAAAGUGUUUCACGGUGUUUAGAUGUUGUGUGCAGUUGUUGCAUCAGGGUUGCCUGUGGGGCUGUUACAGCUUUAGGCAGACGUGGGAGCACUGUGAACUGAGUGAUUUAAUUUUGAACUUUUAGGAUUCUACAUCAUCAAACCUUCUUGGUUGUUUGUUCCCAAACUGCCACAGUCCCUUUCUCCUUUUUUGUUCAUUCUCAGUGCUUUCGUUCUCUGAUUUUAUGGCCUUUUCUUCUGGUUUCUGUCUAUAUAUGGAUAGUUAUGCGAGUUUGACAGAUGUAGGGUGGGAUGAAUAAACACUUCUCUGUGAAGGAAAAAAGAAAGAUGGAAAGAAAGAAGUAGGAAACAGUUUGCUGAGCUUGAGGGAUGAAUUUCGGGGGGACACAGGAGGGUGGGAUGGAGAUGUAAAAAAAGAAAAAAGAAAGAAAGGGGCAGAGAUCUAGAAUAUCUGAAAUGUUCCCGUGCCCCAUAUAGCCCCCCCAACCCUGUGGAAAUGUUUUCUCCACGGUCCCCCCACCCUCCACCAUCACCACGACCACAUUUAUCUCUCCCAAACCAAAGUUACGUAACCAGAUUGGGGUUCGGAGCCAGAAAUGUCCUUACAUAACCCCCCACUCUCUCACACUGCACUGUAGCAACACUGGAAAUAUUUAGUUCUGGUAGUAAUUGAAGGAUUUUAUUACAAUUUUAAUGAAAUCGAAUUCUUUAAAUCUCUUAAAAUCACUUCUCUUUGACAGUUUUUAGUAUUUAUGUUGCUCUUUAGUAAGACCAAAUCAACCAAUAGAGGUGAUUAACUCCGAGCAGCAAGUCCUGAGUGAUUCCACAUUUAUGUUGAACCAUGGAGACAAAUGUAAACAUGACCAGCUGGGAAUAAUUUACAGUACAGAUUUGAGGCAUGUCUGAUGGAGUCUUCCUCAUCUUCCUGAUGUUUGCAGUUUCGCCAUGUGCAAAUUUAGGCAGUUAGAUUUUUUUUUUUCAAACUUCUGUCUUUUGGGUGAGUGUUUCCAAAGAACAUUUACCAGGUUUACACCCCCUCAUCUGGUCAUUCGAGGGCACUAUGCUGCACAUUUAACAACUGAUGCUAAAGAGUUACGUAAUGAGUCAAAUUAUAAACACGACCUGGUGUCCAGCUGUUCCCAAACUUAAGACAGCUGCACUCCUUUCGGACAUCUGAAAAUCUUUCAUUGCAACUCUGAGGCUCAAACAAGUCAAAACUAAAGUAUUUCCUUUUUGUGUGUGUUUUUGUUCAUUAAUUUCGACCUUGUGGCGAUUUUCUUGUGGAGGUUGAAUAUCCAUUAAUAGCAGCUGAAAGCCACGCCUCCAGUUUGGUUCUCUCCCACAAACCAGUUGAACCGGUACUUGUGGACAUCUGUUUUACUAUGUAAUCUGUUAGGAAAAUUGGCAUGUUAUGAGUGGGGUUAAAGUUCAUGUCAUGUAACUCAGUGGUAAUAAAUCUUCCAACAAUGAGAAGCAGUGUUGUCUUGCGAGGUAAAGGAUUUGUGUUGCUCCUUCUGUGGUGAGCUCAUGAUCACUGGUAUAUUUUAAUGCUCGACACAUUUCAUUAUUAAACUAGCAGUAUCUGGCUCUGUGGGUGGUGGAUUAGCAGAUUAACAGCCCCGUAUAGCACUCAUACACACACAAUGACACACAUAUGUGCUUGCAAAUAAGUGCACAUUUGCUGUGAGAUUAAUUAAGGCUGCAGGCGACAGUGGUCAAUCCAGGUCCCUGUCAACGUACAAAGAUAAAGAGGAACAUGUUGUGGCAAUGUGUUG